AGCUAGCAAAGAAACUAUCCUGUAGCUUUCCCGUCAGAAUUACUGGCUUCAAAGAAUCAUACAUUCCAAAAUACAGACCACGGUAUACAAUGAUGCCAACGCAUGAAAUGUUAAAUCCACGGUAAAGACCUGCAAUACCAUCUGAUUGCAUAGUCUUUCUGUACACAUCAAUCAAACCAUUGAAUUGCCUCUCCCCUCCCUUCUUUGCAGCUUUAGCAUCAUUUGCCAGCCGGGUUCUAGCAUAAUCCAAAGAGUAGACAAAGAGCAGGGAAGAGGCACCAGCAGCUCCACCAGAUGCCAAGUUACCAGCGAACCACUUCCAGUAGCCAUCACGG
rnacentral:misc_RNA from 1 species